rnacentral:piRNA from 1 species
UACAAGUUGAGGCUACAUAAGUCAGUGCU